rnacentral:rRNA from 1 species
CGAGAUUCCCCCAGUAGCGGCGAGCGAACGGGGAGCAGCCCAGAGCCUGAAUCAGUGUGUGUGUUAGUGGAAGCGUCUGGAAAGGCGUGCGAUACAGGGUGACAGCCCCGUACACAAAAAUGCACAUGCUGUGAGCUCGAUGAGUAGGGCGGGACACGUGGUAUCCUGUCUGAAUAUGGGGGGACCAUCCUCCAAGGCGAAAUACUCCUGACUGA